CCUCUCCCUAAUAGACACAUUUAAAAAUCGUAAGACUGACAAUGAUACGUAAUGGGCCAAAGCGGACAAUAUCUGCUAGCGGUGGAAUUGAGCUGUU